UCCGUAGGUGAACCUGCGGAAGGAUCAUUGUCGAAACCUGCACAGCAGAAACGACCCGCGAACGUGUUAUCAACAUACAACGGGAGGUGGUGCGGCGGAAUCCCUGCCCCUCGCCCCCUCCAAGCCCCGCAGCCCGUUGUUGCUGCCUCUAACACGCCGCAAGGCAUCGUGGGAGGCACGGCAACGCGCCUAGGUGGCCAAACGAACAACCCCCGGCGUGAUUUGCGCCAAGGAAUUGUAAUGAAAAGGCGCAAGGCCCUCGCCGUCGCCCCGUUCGCGGUGUGCGCGUGGCGUGGAUCCUGCGACUUUGUCGUAAACUCAAAAAACGACUCUCGGCAACGGAUAUCUCGGCUCUCGCAUCGAUGAAGAACGUAGCGAAAUGCGAUACUUGGUGUGAAUUGCAGAAUCCCGUGAACCAUCGAGUCUUUGAACGCAAGUUGCGCCCCAAGCCAUUAGGCCGAGGGCACGUCUGCCUGGGUGUCACGCAUCGUUGCCCCCAUCCUACCCUAACCCACGGGGAACGGGUUGAGGUGCGGGCGUACAAUGGCCUCCCGUGCGCGAUCCGCUCGCGGCUGGCCUAAAAUCGAGUCAUCGGCGACCACGGUGCCGCGACGAUCGGUGGUAAUGCUUCUAGCUGCCUCGUUUCCAGUCGUGCGCUCCCGUUGAUCUGGACUCUUUGACCCUUUCGGCACCGCGUGAACGGUGCUCGCAUCGCGACCCCAGGUCAGGCGGGAUUACCCGCUGAGUUUA
rnacentral:rRNA from 1 species